AGUUGGUUUGUUCAAACCAUUUUGAUAAAGCUGACAUGACCUAUCGGAUGAGUCUAAAUCAGUCCUUAACCAAGUUUCAAUCUUUGAUACACCUAGAAAACAUAAACUAAGAGAAAAG